GAUGAACGCUAGCUACAGGCUUAACACAUGCAAGUCGAGGGGUAACGAGAGGAAAGCUUGCUUUCCUUGUCGACGACCGGCGCACGGGUGAGUAACGCGUAUCCAACCUGCCCCCAACUAAGGAAUAACCUUGCGAAAGUAAGACUAAUACCUUAUAAUUUCCUCAGAUGUCAUCUGACGAGGAAUAAAGAUGUAUCGGUUGUGGAUGGGGAUGCGUCUGAUUAGCUUGUUGGCGGGGUAACGGCCCACCAAGGCAACGAUCAGUAGGGGUUCUGAGAGGAAGGUCCCCCACAUUGGAACUGAGACACGGUCCAAACUCCUACGGGAGGCAGCAGUGAGGAAUAUUGGUCAAUGGGCGAAAGCCUGAACCAGCCAAGUAGCGUGCAGGAUGACGGCCCUAUGGGUUGUAAACUGCUUUUAUACAGGAAUAAAGUUAGCCACGUGUGGUUAUUUGUAGGUACUGUAUGAAUAAGGACCGGUUAAUUCCGUGCCAGCAGCCGCAGUAA
rnacentral:rRNA from 1 species